GACGAACGCUGGCGGCGUGCUUAACACAUGCAAGUCGAACGAGAAGCCAGACUUCGGUUUGGUGGAAAGUGGCGAACGGGUGAGGAACGCGUAGGCAACCUGCCCUUCAGUGGGGAAUAGCCCCGGGAAACCGGGAUUAAUACCGCAUGACGCGCUUUUGUCGCAUGACAGAAGCGUUAAAGCUUUAUGCGCUGAAGGAUGGGCCUGCGUUGCAUUAGGUAGUUGGUGAGGUAACGGCUCACCAAGCCAACGAUGCAUAGCUGGUCUGAGAGGAUGAUCAGCCACACUGGGACUGAGAUACGGCCCAGACUCCUACGGGAGGCAGCAGUGAGGAAUAUUGGACAAUGGGGGGAACCCUGAUCCAGCAACGCCGCGUGAGCGAUGACGCUGCUCUGCAGUGUAAAGCUCUGUUGAGAGGAAAGAACCUGCGGGUAUUGCCCGCACUGACGGUACCUCUCGAGGAAGCACCGGCUAACUCCGU
rnacentral:rRNA from 1 species